GACGAACGCUGGCGGCGUGCUUAACACAUGCAAGUCGAACGGAAAGGCCCUGCUUUUGUGGGGUGCUCGAGUGGCGAACGGGUGAGUAACACGUGAGUAACCUGCCCUUGACUUUGGGAUAACUUCAGGAAACUGGGGCUAAUACCGGAUAGGAUCUCCUGCUGCAUGGUGGGGGUUGGAAAGUUUCGGCGGGUGGGGAUGGACUCGCGGCUUAUCAGCUUGGUGGUGGGGUAGUGGCUUACCAAGGCUUUGACGGGUAGCCGGCCUGAGAGGGUGACCGGCCACAAUGGGACUGAGAUACGGCCCAGACUCCUACGGGAGGCAGCAGUGGGGAAUAUGGCACAGUGGGCGGAAGCCUGAUGCAGCAACGCCGCGUGCGGGAUGACGGCCUUCGGGUUGUAAACCGCUUUCGCCUGUGACGAAGCGUGAGUGACGGUAAUGGGUAAAGAAGCACCGGCUAACUACGUG
rnacentral:rRNA from 1 species